rnacentral:sRNA from 25 species
UUCACAUCUUGCAAUUGGCAGAGGGAUCAUUCUAAAUCGUAGUAAUACGGAUUAGAUGUGAACCAAACCACCCUGAGCGUAGUCGAAGGGUAAACGUUAUUUAAGUCAUGAUACCUUGGGAUUCGCUAGUCCCAUGCUCUAUC